AAACGGAGUCCUGAGCUUUCGGCCCCUCGCUAGGAGUGUCGCAAGGCUGAGGCGCCGCGGUUCAGCCGCGGAAAGGAGCGCGGCGUGCGGAGCAGAGCCCGUACGGCCGCUGAGGCGCGUCCCGCUCGGAGCUCCCCGGGAAGGGCGUGAGGGGCCCCGCGGGAUUCCCGAGGAGGCGCUGGGAAGGGACGGGCAGCACAGAACGCCGCUCCUUGUCUCUGCCGUCAGCGCAAUGCUCCCGAGCAGCUGCGGACACAUUCGGGACUGUCUGGGUGGGGUUUGUGCAGCUCCUCGGUGAAUGCUGAACUUCACCGCCUGAGGCUCCUUCUGCAGCUCCAUCUGCGAGCUCCUGUUCGGAGCAUCACCCUCUCCUCUUCCAGAGCUCUUAACUCCAUCAGUACCACAGGGAAACUUAGAGAAAGCUGAUUUUCAGCACUAAAGCUCACAAAACAUACAGAGAAUCACGAAGCAAGUUACCUUUUCCAUGCACUAAACAGUGCUAGAAAAAUCCCGGAUUAAAAUGUUCCCUUGUCUCCACCCUGUGGUUCUGCUGUGGUCCAUUCCUGCUCCUUGUGCCCUGCUGGAUCCUACCUUGGGAAUGCUGAAUGAAUACUCACGCAGGAACUGGAAUGGGAAUUGGACAUCCAAAACCCACCAGGAGCUGAUGAACUCCCUGGUUUAUAGCCAUGGAUCCAGGUUAACUCUACACAGAUUGAACCAGCUUGUGACAAACACUUUUUAUAGGAAUCCAAGGUGAACUGGAGGACUGGGAGGACACAGCAAUGGAAAUAUUGAGAGAUUCACCAGUACAAAGUGUCAGAUGCUGAGCCUGGACUGAUGAUGAGUGUCUGCAGGGAACUUGUAUAAACUGCAAGUGGCUGAAGAGAAACAGCCCCAGAUUUAUCACAGAACAUCUAUGAAUCAGAAAUACAAUACAGCCACUAAGGAGACAAAUGUGAUCACUCAAAUUUAAUGGAUCACAUUCUUUUCACACAAGAGAGGGAACUAUCAACACUGAAAUAAAUACCUGGCGCCUUGGCCAUGAGCCACUAACUGGAAUAUUGUUCCUGGUCACUGCUAUUCAAGGAUAAUUAAUUCAAAUAUAUGCAAGCAGGAUGAACAGAAACAGAACUUUGGUUUUGAGAGGAGGCUAACAUUUAAUUUGGUCUAAGGAAUGAAGGGUUUAAGUCUCUCCAAGCUUCACUAGAAAAAUAAACUCAGCUAGAACAGCUCAAGUGAUGACAGACGCAGCAUUAUAAAUACACUGGCACAGACACCACAGCAAAACUGCUCUACCAACAGGUCUGAGACUGCCUUCCAAUAGAGCCAGGGCCAAACCCCAAAUAUCCUUAACACAGGCCUUUGCUGCUAAAUCUGGACAAUUCCAUUUCCUCAACCCCCUGAGGGAUUAACUCCUGACUCAGCCCCUCAUCCCCAUUUUGGCUGAACACCCCAGUAACAUUCCCUGCAGUUCUCAGCCAACAUCCAGUAUCAGCUCUGCCGCUCCUGGGUUUGCCCAAAACAACUUCCAACAAAAACAUUGCACGUGCCCCUUUCAGGAAUGUGUGCUUUUCCCUCAGGGAUGAGCCAAAGGCUUUAGUUUAAGUCCUGCUUUCACAGCUCCAAAGGCAGGCUGGUCAUGCACACAAAGGGCUGUGUUGUGCUGGGCACAAACCCCUCGGGAAGCCAGGGAUUUGUUCACCCUCAGACACUGUCCCUGCUCAGGCUGGCUCCCUGUCAGGUGGGAGAAAACCUCUGCUUUUGGAGAGGAAUGCUGCAGGGAGAGAUUCCUUCAGGAAGUCCUACCAAAGGAGGAGCUGUGACCCCACCAACCAAAUCAUGGAAGGGUUAAGGUUGGCAAGGACUUCAGAGAUCACCAAGUGCAACCAUCAACCCGCAGCACCACCAUGGUCACCACUAAACCACGUCCUCCAGGGCCACAUCCACACGUUUUUCAACACUUCCAGGGAUGGUGACUCCACCACUGUCCUGCCAGGAAGGUGGAGCACCAGGAAAAUCAGAUAUGAUGAUCAUUCUGCAGUUUUCAUCUUUGGGAAUCCUUCUUAAGCUUUCCAAGUCUUGUUAUUUGAAGCAGGCAAAGCCCUGGCCUGGCUGUAUCAGGUGUGUCUCAUUUAGACACACCCCACCACUGCUGCCAUCACACUAAAACACAUCCACAGCGAAAGACACAGGAAUUUUCCUUUUUUUUUUUUCCCCAUAAACACAUUGCACUAUUCAAGGUUUUCAUCUUUGAAUUUAAUUAAAGAAAAAUGUCUCAAAGUGAUGAAGCAUGUCUGACUUCCAGCUUCUUUCAAUGGCACAAGCCAGUGCAGUAAAUUGUAGAAAGCAAGCUCAGUUAGAAUUUUAUUUUUCAUUUAAAAUAAAAAACAGAGAGAAAACUCUCCAGAUGUGAGGUCCUGUUAAAAAAGUGGCUGUUCACUUGUAAACAGAAUAAAAGUGUUAAGAACACAGUUUCAUACAGCUUAAACAAAACCACUUUUCAGAAGCAAUACAAGUAUGUUACAACACCGUAAGAACACCAAAAGCAGAAAACAAAAGAAUGGCAGAAGAAUCACAUAACAUUGCUUACUAAAGAGAUAAAUAACUGAUGGUGAAUAUUAAUAGCUUGACAUUUUUAUUGCUCCAAUGGUAGUGUGUUGACAAGAAAAUGUAGUAAACUGUCAGUGGGACAAUAAUAAACAUCAAUUUAUGGUUUUGCAUAUGAAGUUUUGUACCUAUCACGAAAAACACAGGAACUUUUUCUUUUGCAUUUAUCAAAACCACACCAGAUUUAAUUUUUUUUUUUUUUCUGUUUUCAAGUCACCCAUUUACAACUGAACCCACAUUCUACCUAGACUUGGGUGUGCAUGUUUGAACACUUUUGCGUUCCUCCUCUGGGAAAACACCUUUGCAGGAGCAGGUGGGGAAUCACUGAGGAAAAGCUUUGAUGCUCUGCCAGAGUUCUGCACUCCUUCAGCACUCUCUAGAUACAAAACUUUCUAGAUACAAACCCAAAGAUUUCCUGGAUAAAAUUUUGAAGCAAAAUUAGUGUCAACAUGUUGAUGUGAAGAAAUAAACACUGAUUUGGUAGACAGUAGCUGCUUUUAAAAAUCUGCUGCAGACUCCCACUCCUGAGAGGGACCAGUUCCCUUUUCUCCUUCUCUGCACAAUGGUGUUGGAACCAGCCAAGGCACUUUCUUUACCACUUCCACUCACUCUGCUGACAUUCAUCUGUUACACUGCUACAAAUUCUGACAGAUACCCUCCAUGAACACUUCACCAACUCAUGCUGAUCAUUUAUUGUCAAAAAUGAGAUUUCCAGUCUUGGGAGACAGAAUUACCUGUGUUCUUGUAUUAAAGGACAGCCCAAGCAAAAAGAACCUGUGUACAGAGUUCACAGCAAUUACUGCCAGCUGCCUUCACCUUGCAGUGAGCUAUGAAUCCUGUGUCUUUCACAUGCAAAUAUAAUACUGCUGCUGGUUUUGCAUUUUAAUGCAAAUUUACCUACUUAUUAAAACAUGGAGCUUACUGUAAAUGACAGGUUUGGCUCUGGUUCAUUACCAGUUGCUUUAUGGCCACAUAAUUAAAUGUCAAUUAAAACACAAAGACAAAACCCAUUCAUGGUUUGGAGACUGCACAAUUAAUAAUUAAGGACAAAUUAAAAUGUAUAGGAUUUAUGUACUUAGAAUGUAAACUUUACAAAUUAAUAUUAUGUGCUUAAGUGUUCAAGGCCAGUUUGGAUGGAGCUCUGAGCAUCCUGGGCUAGUGGAAGGAGGGGGUGCAAUGACAGGAGCUUUGGGGUCCCUCCCACCCAACCCAUCCUGUGGUUCCAUGGGAAGUGCCUGUUCUCCCACUUGGAAAAGUACAGGGAGAAAACAAGAGACACGUGAAGAAGAAAAUCAGAACCUGCUGAGAUUUCUUGAGGUUUUUUGCACAACAAAGUUCUGGCAGAACAGUAAGAAACUUCCAUUGUUCUGUUAAUUACUCCAGAAACUCGUUUGUCAGGGAAACCCAAGGAAAUAAUUGGGUGUGCCAAUUCAGUUUUGGUUUACUCUGCCUUUUUCUGCCAUUAUUUUCUCUGCUUCCAGUUAACACUCAU